UACGAACCGUCCAAACGUUAUUCGGAUUUAUUGGGCUUAAAGGGUGCGUAGGCGGUGCGGUAAGUGAGGUGUGAAAGCCCUCGGCUUAACCGAGGAACUGCGCUUCAUACUGCCGUGCUAGAGGGAGACAGAGGUAAGCGGAACUGAUGGUGGAGCGGUGAAAUGCGUUGAUAUCAUCAGGAACACCAGUGGCGAAAGCGGCUUACUGGGUCUCUCCUGACGCUGAGGCACGAAAGCUAGGGUAGCGAACGGG
rnacentral:misc_RNA from 1 species